rnacentral:tRNA from 1 species
GGGAAGGUAGCUCAGCCUGGGAGAGCGCUACCCUGAAGAGGUAGUUGUCGUGGGUUCAAAAACAGAUCCCUUUUCA